UACGUAGGGUCGAGACGUUGUCCGGAAUUAUUGGGCGUAAAGGCUCGUGAGAGCGGUUUGUCGCGUCGGGAGUGAAAACCAGAGGCUUAACUUCUGGCUUGCUUCCGAUACGGGCAGACUUGAGGCAUGCAGGGGGAGAACGGAAUUCCUGGUGUAGCGGUGAAAUGCGCAGAUAUCAGGAGGAACACCAGUGGCGAAGGCGACUACCUGGACCAGCACUGACACUGAGGCACGAAAGCGUGGGGAGCAAACAGG
rnacentral:rRNA from 1 species